AAUAGAUACCCCCGGUAGUCCACGCCGUAAACGAUGGGUACUAGGUGUGGGAGGUGUCGACUCCUCCCGUGCCGUCGCUAACGCACUAAGUACCCCGCCUGGGGAGUACGGCCGCAAGGCUAAAACUCAAAGGAAUUGACGGGGGGCCCGCACGAAGCAGCGGAGCAUGUGGUUUAAUUCGACGCAACGCGAAGAACCUUACCUGGGCUUGACAUGUCAGUGACCGCCGUGGAAACACGGUUUUCCUUCGGGACACUGUCACAGGUGGUGCAUGGCUGUCGUCAGCUCGUGUCGUGAGAUGUUGGGUUAAGUCCCGCAACGAGCGCAACCCCCGUUCAUGUUGCCAGCAUUUAGUUGGGGACUCAUGGGAGACUGCCGGUGACAACCGGAGGAAGGUGGGACGACGUCAAGUCAUCAUGCCCCGUUAUGUCCAGGGCUACACACGUGCUACAUUGGCGCAUCAAAGGGCAGCAAUACCGCGAGGUGGAGCAAAUCCCAUAAAGUGCGCCUCGGUUCGGAUUGGAGGCUGAAACUCGCCUCCA
rnacentral:rRNA from 1 species